UACGAAGGGGGCUAGCGUUGCUCGGAAUUACUGGGCGUAAAGAGCUCGUAGGUGGUUUGUCGCGUUGUUCGUGAAAACUCACGGCUUAACUGUGGGCGUGCGGGCGAUACGGGCAGACUGGAGUACUGCAGGGAGACUGGAAUUCCUGGUGUAGCGGUGGAAUGCGCAGAUAUCAGGAGGAACACCAAUAGCGAAGGCAGCUCGCUGGGACGGUAUUGACGCUGAGGCGACGAAAGCGUGGGGAGCAAACAGG
rnacentral:rRNA from 1 species